UUCAUGCAAACCCAUAAACAACCAUAUCUUUUCCGCAGCGACGCCUGGGGCCGAGUCCCGCAAGCAGCGCAAGCAGCUAGACUGCAGACUGCGGCGCUGGCGGGGCCACUCCUCCCGCGACACUCUGAAGCUCCCCUUCUCCCUCCGGAUUUCGAAGGGUUCCGGACCCCGCUAAGACCCCGCCCUUGAAGUCCAGCCCCGGGAAAGGGAGGCGGAGAGAACCCCGCGGCCCCAGCCCACCGGAGCAGCGCCGCAGGAAAACCCUGCGUCCCCUCCCCAGCUGGCAGGAGUAGCCCCGGCGGCGAGCGCCCAGCAGCUCCCAGGUUGUGGCAUUAAGCCCACUUGAAAACAUCACAGCCUUGCCCUGGGUCGCCAGAGAAGCUGCUAGGACAGAUGUUUGGUUCCCAGAGCAAACAUAGCGGUUAAAGAACAGAAUGGAUUCCCAACAAUCUGAAGACAUCCCUUUGCUACAUCCCACCCUGGGACUUACCACGCCUCCAGGAGCAUCAGCAGAACCACCCAGGAGCUGUUUCUGUGGCUUUAAAACUGAUUCUCCGCCAGGAUUCACUGAUAGCCUCAGAAUAUUCCUCCAACCUCAACUUCCUGUGCUGAGACCCGUGAAGAAGACUGAAUCCCAGUCUCUCACUAAACUCGGAGCUCAGCUUGAGCAGACUGGCUGGCCACCACUCCGGGAAGUCUACUGUCUUCGCCUCCCCGGCACUGGGAUUACGGCACUGCAUCACCAAAUGCGACCUUUCGUUCUUUUCCUUCUGAGAUCUCGCUGCACAGCCCUGGUUGGUCUGGAGCUCAUAUAUAGACCAGGCUGGCCUCAAACUCAUGAAGAUUCCCCCCGUCCCCGCACCCCAUGCAACCUCUGCCUCCUGAGUGCUAGGAUUAAAGGCAUUCAACUCCAGGCUCUAUUCUGAACCCAAAGUGAGUUCAGAAAGUGAGUUCAGAACCCUAACUCGGGCCCUCAUACCUACCUGCAAACAGCUUACUGACAGCCAUGCCCCAGAGCCUCCUCAUUUAUUCGUCAUGUAUGUGACAGGUCUUACCUUACAGCCUGGGGUAGCAGCGAACUCCGAUCCUCCUGCCUCAGCCUCCAGGAGUGCUGGGAUGAUAGGCGUGAGUGUAUUUUUUUUUAGUUUUUUGUUUGGCUGGCUGGGAGUUGGUUGAGGUUUGUUGUUUUGAGACAGAAUUUCACCACGUGGCCCUGGCUGGCCAGAACUCAUUCUGUAGAGAAU